CCAGACUCCUACGGGAGGCAGCAGUGAGGAAUAUUGGUCAAUGGCCGAGAGGCUGAACCAGCCAAGUCGCGUGAGGGAAGACGGCCCUACGGGUUGUAAACCUCUUUUGUCGGGGAGCAAAGCGAACCACGUGUGGUUCAUUGAGAGUACCCGAAGAAAAAGCAUCGGCUAACUCCGUGCCUGCAGCCGCGGUAAUACGGAGGAUGCGAGCGUUAUCCGGAUUUAUUGGGUUUAAAGGGUGCGUAGGCGGAAGGUUAAGUCAGCGGUCAAAUGUCGGUGCUCAACACCGGCCUGCCGUUGAAACUGGUCUUCUUGAGUGAGCGAGAAGUAUGCGGAAUGCGUGGUGUAGCGGUGAAAUGCAUAGAUAUCACGCAGAACUCCGAUUGCGAAGGCAGCAUACCGGCGCCCAACUGACGCUGAAGCACGAAAGCGUGGGUAUCGAACAGGAUUAGAUACCCGAGUA
rnacentral:rRNA from 1 species